ensembl:lncRNA
CUCUGAAGUUUCUCCUAUUGUGUCUAUGACCUUGCAUUCCAUCAUCUGAAAAGAAAUUACAAGAUUUUAUUAUGUUUCUUUUUUCCCAAGGUUUUUUGGUCAUCAAGAUUUUCUCAUGAAGGCAGAAGACUCAUUGAUGAAAAAGUCAGUUUCUAAGAAUAUGGCUAAACAUUCCUACCUUACUCCCCCUCUCCCCUUUUUCCCACUGAAAGAGCAAACUACCCUUCCUUACCAUGGAAAGAAAACGUAUGAUGAUAAGCCUGGACGGACCGGGGAUUGGUACAAUAUGGAUUCUUUGGAAAAGUGUGAGUGGUGUGCAUUAGAUGCUAGUUUCCAUCUCAUGUCCCUUCUGCUUGUAUGCACUACAAGUGAGUCACCUGCAGAGGUGCUGCGGGGGGAGACCCGAGCCAGUGGCUCCAAAUGCUACCUCCACAUUCAGAUUACUAUUAGGCAUAGGGCCAAGGUUUCAUCUUCUAACUACUGAGAUUCUUCAAUCUGUGGAAGAAAAGGGAAAGUAAAUCAAAACAAUGGUAUGGUUUUAGUUUCUCCUAUGAGAAAAAUGAUGUCAGUCAAACUUAUGCCUUUAAGCCAGGCUGACAGGUCCAAACACCAUGAGAGCAGCUGGCAAAUAGCUGCAUGGUGGAUGUGUUAGCUGAAUGGGCUCACUUUUUGGAUGCUUAAUUCCAGGUUCAUCCCAGUUAUACUUGGCUCUGCUACUGGCUUUGUCUCACAGUAUCAACCCUACUUUUGCUGCAUGGAUUUUUUUUUUUUGAACUUUGUUUCCUCAAUUUUGACUCUUAGAUGGCCUAAGAACUCGAGUUCUGGCCUUCUUCCCCUCCUGAUUGCUUUAAGUAGACUGAACCCAGGGCUUGAGGAUCAAAUACCCACUAGGGCUAGUCAGUGGGUCAGACCACCUUAUUUGCCUUAAUAUUUGGAUUUCAAGCAAAAAAAAAAAGAGCAAUACUGAUUCCCAACCACCAUGACUAUGGUCAUCAUGAAGGUAUUCGGAGUUUGCUGAGAAGUCUUGUUCAUUAUCUGCAGUCUGAGGCAGCAGACUCCAGCCUUCUUUUGAAGUUUCAAAACGAACCUAUAGGUCGGAAGGGUCAUCAUUUUCUUAGAAAAAUUUUCUUACCCUCUGUGGUAGGCAGAAUAGUGGCUCUCCAAAAAUGUCCACAGCUGAAUUUCCAGAACCUCUGGCUUUGUGCACAUUAUGUUACAUACCAAGGGAGAAUUAAGGUUACAGGAAGAAUUAAGUUGCCAAUCAGCUGACCUUAAAAUUGGGACAUUAUUCUGGGUUAUGGAAGUGAGCUUGAUGCAAUUAUAAGAGUCCUUUAAAGUGGAAGAGGGAGGCAGAAGAGGAGGUCAAAAUCACAGGAGAUUUGAAAAUGAUGAUGUACAGGCUUUGAAGAUGGGAGAAGAGGCCACGAGUCAAGAAACGUAAAAAUGUAGGCAUCCUACAUGUAGGAGGCCUAUAAAAGCUAGAAAAGGCAAGAAAUGGAUUUCCUCUUAGGGUCUCCAGACAGAACACAGUCCUGCUGAUAUCUUGACUUUAGUUCAGUGAGAUCCAAUUCUGACUUCCAUCCUCCAUUUAUUUAAAGUAAUAAAUUUUACUGUUUUAAACCA